CCUGGGUUAAGAAGAUCCCCUAGCGGUGGGCAUGGCAAUGGCAAUUCUCACCUGGAGAAUCCCCAUGGACAGAGGAGCCUGGCAGUCUAUAGUUCAUGGGAUCACAAAGAGUCAGACACGGCUGAGCAACUAAGCACAGCACAGCACACCAUUGAGGAAGCAAUUAUCAUUGUCCAGAGAGAGAUGAAGGAAUUCAAAACAGAAAUUUCCAAUAAAUGUGGGUGAUUUUUUACAACGAAAAAGAGUUAUUGUGUGAGGGGAAAUAAUCAGGGCAUCCAAAACACAAAACUGCUGGAUAAUUGAUGAACAGAACACUUAAGGCUUGAUCCCAAGUUUCCACGUUAGAGGCUAUGUUUGGCAGCCUGUGAAAUGAGCCCCAGUGAUCCUCAUUGGCAGGUAUUUAUACUCUGGUGUACUCACCAGUUCCUGAGCGUGGGCUGGACCCAUCGACUUCAUUCUAACCAGUGGAAUUGGGGUGGGGGGGUGUGAGGGAGUCAUUUCCACGAUUAGGUCACCAGCAGACAUGUCCUCUCCUUUGACGAUUCUCCUCUGCUUUUUCCCGGGUCAGUCUCCGUGGGGUGAACCACCUCUCCCGUCAUGAAACAACCGUGGUGGAAUGUUGUCCGCAAAGACGGGUGGAAGCCACAGCUGCUUGAGUGAACUGGCAGGUGGAUCCCGUUGUAGUUGGAUCUGGAUAUGACUGGAGCUGGGCCAACACCUUGACCACAGCCCACGGCAAUGCUGAGCCAGGAGGGACCCAACCAAGCCGCAUCAGGUUCCCGACUGCAGUGUGAGUGGAAUGAAAGCUCUUUGACUGCAGAGAGGUUCGCUUCUUCAGUAAUGCAUCAACUACCCAAAGGGCUUCCCAGGUGGCUCUAGUGGUAAAAAAAAAAACCUACCUCCUAAUGCAGGUGACCUAAGAGACCUGGGUUCAGUCCCUGGAUCAGGAAGAUUCCCUGGAGGAGAGCAUUUCAGCCCACUCCAGUAUUCUUGCCUGAAGAAUCCCAUGGACAGAGGAGCCUGAAGGGCUACAGUUCACAAAGUUGCAAGAGUCGGACACGACCGAGAGACUAAGCACACACAGACACGUACGCACAAUUACCCGAAACAGCGCUGAGUGCAGAGCGGGAGAUGAAGAAAGCUUUGGCUGAGCAACUGAACAAGUGAAUGAGUAAAUAAAUGCAUAUUUUCAAGUGGUUUUGUCCCACAGCACCUACCACAGCGUCUGACAUGGAGAAAACACCAAUCAAACGUUACUAUCCUUAAGCAAUUUGCUCAGAGUAAAUUCUGAGGUUAUUGGAUCACCAAAUCCAUUCACAAGCACGUGGAUAGACAGUCCUAUGUAAUGUUCUAUAUGAAUCCUGAAAAUGAUUGGGUAGCAACAACAAAACUUGAUGUGAGGCACUUUUGUUUAUCAAAUUCC
ensembl:lncRNA